rnacentral:rRNA from 1 species
UAGGGAAUAUUGGACAAUGGGCGCAAGCCUGAUCCAGCCAUCCCGCGUGUAGGAUGACGGCCCUCUGGGUUGUAAACUACUUUUAUCAGGGAAGAAACCGGAGGAUUUAUCCUCCGUUGACGGUACCUGAGGAAUAAGCACCGGCUAACUCCGUGCCAGCAGCCGCGGUAAUACGGAGGGUGCAAGCGUUAUCCGGAUUUACUGGGUUUAAAGGGUGCGUAGGUGGUUUGGUAAGUCAGUGGUGAAAGCCCGGGGCUCAACUCCGGAAUUGCCAUUGAUACUGCCAGGCUUGAGUACAGUUGAGGUAGGCGGAAUGUGUCAUGUAGCGGUGAAAUGCUUAGAUAUGACACAGAACACCGAUUGCGAAGGCAGCUUGCUAAACUGUAACUGACACUGAGGCACGAAAGCGUGGGGAUCAAACAGG